rnacentral:ncRNA from 2 species
GGGCACGAUGCGGGAGAGCAUGGGAAGCCUUUGAGGCCUUGCCCGUCGCCGAAGGAGCAACCGCCCCGGAAUCUCUCAGGCCAAAGGACCGCAUCGCGCGC